rnacentral:rRNA from 1 species
GGCGUAAGCUGUCGCUAUGGGAUGGCCCGCGGUGCAUUAGCUAGUUGGUAAGGUAAAAGGGCUUACCAAGGCGAUGAUGCAUAGCCCGAGUUGAGAGACUGAUCGGGCCACAUUGGGGACUGAGACACGGGGCCCAAACUCCUACGGGGGGAGGGGGCAGCAGUAGGGGGAAGUCUUCCACAAUGGACGCAAGUCUGAUGGAGCAACGCCGCGUGAGUGAAGAAGGUUUUCGGAUCGUAAAGCUCUGUUGUUGGUGAAGAAGGAUAGAGGUAGUAACUGGCCUUUAUUUGACGGUAAUCAACCAGAAAGUCACGGCUAACUACGUGCCAGCAGCCGCGGUAAU